AAGAGGCCAAGCCAGAGACACCUAGCCAAGCCACACCUCAAUCACCAACCCAAAGAAACCAUGAGAUAAUAAAAAUUUGUUGUUUUAAACUGUUAAGCUAUGAGAAAAUUCUCAGAAGAUCCCAUGGGAUGAAGCAACCAGUCUUCCACCAUGCUUGUCAACUCAAAUCUCAGCUAAAGGUUACACCCAGUAGGAGAUAACCUCUCCUGAAGCUGUGCCCAGGCCUGGAAUAUGCUCUUCUUUGCCGAGACUAGCUGAAGCCCAGUGUCAUCCACUAAGCUACAAGCACUUGCUUCAGUUUAUGCUGACAAACCCUUUUCCUCAAAACCCAUCCUACGCUAAGUCUAUAUGUCUGAACUACUGAUAUACCAUUAAACAGUUGGUUAUACAA